rnacentral:rRNA from 1 species
UACGUAGGGUGCGAGCGUUAAUCGGAAUUACUGGGCGUAAAGCGUGCGUAGGCGGCUUUGUAAGACGGAUGUGAAAGCCCCGGGCUCAACCUGGGAAGUGCAUUCGUGACUGCAAGGCUAGAGUGUGUCAGAGGGAGGUGGAAUUCCGCGUGUAGCAGUGAAAUGCGUAGAGAUGCGGAGGAACACCGAUGGCGAAGGCAGCCUCCUGGGAUAACACUGACGCUCAGGCACGAAAGCGUGGGGAGCAAACAGG